rnacentral:tRNA from 1 species
AGCUCAGAUGGUAAAGCAUCUGCUUGCCAAGCAGGAGACCCAGGUUCAAUCCCUGA